rnacentral:rRNA from 1 species
GAUGAACGCUGGCGGCGUGCUUAACACAUGCCAGUCGAACGGAAAGGCCCAAGCUUGCUUGGGUACUCGAGUGGCGAACGGGUGAGUAACACGUGGGUGAUCUGCCCUGCACUUCGGGAUAAGCCUGGGAAACUGGGUCUAAUACCGGAUAGGACGAUGGUUUGGAUGCCAUUGUGGAAAGUUUUUUCGGUGUGGGAUGAGCUCGCGGCCUAUCAGCUUGUUGGUGGGGUAAUGGCCUACCAAGGCGUCGACGGGUAGCCGGCCUGAGAGGGUGUACGGCCACAGUGGGACUGAGAUACGGCCCAGACUCCUACGGGAGGCAGCAGUGGGGAAUAUUGCACAAUGGGCGCAAGCCUGAUGCAGCGACGCCGCGUGGGGGAUGACGGCCUUCGGGUUGUAAACUCCUUUCGCUAGGGACGAAGCGUUUUUGUGACGGUACCUGGAGAAGAAGCACCGGCUAACUACGUG